rnacentral:rRNA from 1 species
GCUUCACUGCAGGCUGGCAUUGGGUUCGGGCUUUUCUUGCGCAGUCUAGGUGGGAGGCUUUGAAGGUUUCCUUCCGGGGAAGCUGGAGCCAUCAGUGAGAGACCACUCUGGAAAGGCUAGAAUCCUAAUGGUGAUCCUUGAAUCAGGACACUUGACAUUGUCAGCUAGACAGUUUUUCUGGGGCGGAAGGCUCCUAAAAGGUAACGGAGCUGUGCAAAGGUUCCCUCAGUCUGGACGGAAAUCAGACGUGGAGUGUAAAGGCAAAAGGGAGCUUGACUGCAAGACCUACAAGUCGAGCAGGAGCGACGGGCCCUU